CGCACCUCUCAUCCUGAAUUCUUGAGUUUUAAUCAAUCUUCCUCAUUUUCCUCUUCUUGUCUUCCUCGAAUUUCUGGAUUGUUUGAAGCUCGGGUCUGAGAUUCUGAAGCUCUUUUGUCUUCUGGGUUCGUGCUCGUGCAACCCAAAUUUGUUUCUCUUCUUUGUCUCUGGUUCCUCUUGUUCCAGCUUGGUGAAUUCUACCUCUAUUUGUGUUCGCCUUCAAGCUUCC